UACGGGAGGCAGCAGUGGGGAAUAUUGCACAAUGGGCGCAAGCCUGAUGCAGCCAUGCCGCGUGUAUGAAGAAGGCCUUCGGGUUGUAAAGUACUUUCAGUCGUGAGGAAGGUGUUAAGGUUAAUAACCUUAGCAAUUGACGUUAGCGACAGAAGAAGCACCGGCUAACUCCGUGCCAGCAGCCGCGGUAAUACGGAGGGUGCGAGCGUUAAUCGGAAUUACUGGGCGUAAAGGGCACGCAGGCGGUUAAUUAAGUUGGAUGUGAAAUCCCCGGGCUUAACCUGGGAAUGGCAUUCAAGACUGGUUAGCUAGAGUCUUGUAGAGGGGGUAGAAUUCCAUGUGUAGCGGUGAAAUGCGUAGAGAUGUGGAGGAAUACCGGGUGGCGAAGGCGGCCCCUGGGACAAAGACUGACGCUCAUGUGCGAAAGCGUGGGGAGCAAACAGGAUUAAUACC
rnacentral:rRNA from 1 species